rnacentral:tRNA from 1 species
GCCCAGAUGGCGGAAUUGGUAGACGCACUAGCUUCAGGUGCUAGCGUUCGCAAGAGCAUGGAGGUUCGAGUCCUCUUCUGGGCACCA